GAGCGGUAGAGUGACUUCGGUUGCUUGAGAGCGGCGAACGGGUGAGUAACGCGUACACAAUCUACCUUCAAGAGGGGAAUAGCCCUGGGAAACUGGGAUUAAUGCCCCAUGGCAUCACGGAGUGGCAUCGCUUUGUGAUUAAAGCUGAGGUGCUUGAAGAUGAGUGUGCGUCUGAUUAGCUAGUUGGUACGGUAACGGCGUACCAAGGCGACGAUCAGUAGGGGGCGUGAGAGCGUGGACCCCCACACGGGUACUGAGACACGGACCCGACUCCUACGGGAGGCAGCAGUAAGGAAUAUUGGUCAAUGGAGGAAACUCUGAACCAGCCAUCCCGCGUGCAGGAAGAAUGCCCUAUGGGUUGUAAACUGCUUUUCCAGGGAGAGAAACUUGCGUACGCGUUGCGCAAUUGACGGUACCCUGGGAAUAAGCAUCGGCUAACUCCGUGCCAGCAGCCGCGGUAAUACGGAGGAUGCGAGCGUUAUCCGGAUUCAUUGGGUUUAAAGGGUGCGUAGGCGGACUAUUAAGUCAGUGGUGAAAUCCUGCAGCUUAACUGCAGAACUGCCAUUGAUACUGAUAGCCUUGAGUUUGGUUAAGGUAGGCGGAAUGUGUAAUGUAGCGGUGAAAUGCUUAGAUAUUACACAGAACACCAAUUGCGUAGGCAGCUUACUGAGCCGACACUGACGCUGAGGCACGAAAGCGUGGGGAUCGAACAGGAUUAGAUACCCUGGUAGUCCACGCCGUAAACGAUGAUUACUCGCUGUUGGCGAUACACUGUCAGCGGCUAAGCAAAAGCAAUAAGUA
rnacentral:rRNA from 1 species